CACGUAGGGGACGAGCGUUGUCCGGAUUCAUUGGGCGUAAAGCGCGCGUAGGCGGCUCGGAAAGUCGGUCGUGAAAUGCCGGGGCUCAACCCCGGGACUGCGUCCGAUACUUCCGGGCUGGAGGUAGGUAGGGGAGAUCGGAAUUCCUGGUGUAGCGGUGAAAUGCGUAGAUAUCUGGAGGAAUACCGGUGGCGAAGGCGGCAUCCUGGACCGGCAUUGACGCUGAGGAGCGAAAGCCAGGGGAGCAAACGGG
rnacentral:rRNA from 1 species